rnacentral:rRNA from 1 species
UUUGAUCAUGGCUCAGGACGAACGCUGGCGGCGUGCUUAACACAUGCAAGUCGAACGGAAAGGCCUGCAGCUUGCUGCGGGUACUCGAGUGGCGAACGGGUGAGUAACACGUGGGUGAUCUGCCUUGCACUUCGGGAUAAGCUUGGGAAACUGGGUCUAAUACCGGAUAGGACAGCUGUUUAGUGUCAGUUGUGGAAAGUUUUUUCGGUGCAAGAUGAGCUCGCGGCCUAUCAGCUUGUUGGUGGGGUAAUGGCCUACCAAGGCGUCGACGGGUAGCCGGCCUGAGAGGGUGUACGGCCACAUUGGGACUGAGAUACGGCCCAGACUCCUACGGGAGGCAGCAGUGGGGAAUAUUGCACAAUGGGCGGAAGCCUGAUGCAGCGACGCCGCGUGGGGGAUGAAGGCCUUCGGGUUGUAAACUCCUUUCGACAGGGACGAAGCGUAAGUGACGGUACCUGUAUAAGAAGCACCGGCUAACUACGUGCCAGCAGCCGCGGUAAUACGUAGGGUGCGAGCGUUGUCCGGAAUUACUGGGCGUAAAGAGCUCGUAGGUGGUUUGUCGCGUCGUCUGUGAAAUUCCGGGGCUUAACUCCGGGCGUGCAGGCGAUACGGGCUGACUUGAGUGCUGUAGGGGAGACUGGAAUUCCUGGUGUAGCGUUGAAAUGCGCAGAUAUCAGGAGGAACACCGAUGGCGAAGGCAGGUCUCUGGGCAGUAACUGACGCUGAGGAG